rnacentral:rRNA from 1 species
CGGAUCUCUUGGCUCUCGCAUCGAUGAAGAACGCAGCGAAAUGCGAUACGUAAUGUGAAUUGCAGAAUUCAGUGAAUCAUCGAAUCUUUGAACGCACCUUGCGCCCCUUGGCAUUCCGAGGGGCACACCCGUUUGAGUGUCGUGAAAUUAUCAAAAGCCUUUCUUUGAUUGGAAGGAUUUUGGACUUGGAGGAUCAAUGCUGGCCUUUAUCCUUUAGAAGGUGGGCUCCUCCCAAAUAAAUUAGUGGGUUUUGCUUUGCUUGAUCCUUGACAUGAUAAGAUAUUUCUAUGUUUUGGAUUAAAGUAAUUGCCUGCUUCUAACUGUCCGAUGGACAACGAUGGUGCUCCNGUCACUGCCAUGUUUUUAUUACAUUGGUGGGAGGCUGAAACCCACAAAUAUCUACUUGACCUCAGAUCGGGGGGAGACUACCCGCUGAACUUAAGCAUAUCCAUAAGCGGAGGGA